AGAACAGCCAGCAGGGUGGAACAGGGUGUACCUCUCCUUUAGCAAAGAGCAGCAUGCCAAUCAUGGUGAAGAGGCAGAGGUGGAGGGCCAGGAGCAGGAUAACACUGGGAGAGAAAGGAGCUAGCUCAUGCAUCUGUAUCCAUUGUGGAGGUGAAGACUUUGAGGGAGGCUGCCAUUUAUCAAACUUCGAGUCUAACUUCCUAUUCCCCACCUUCAUGGAGAAGCUGGACCAUUACAAAACCGCUGUCCUUGUUCAAGAUGUAACGUUAUUUAUAUUUUCAAAUGUAAACUUUAUUAUACUAGUCAAUAUGAGAGGAGGUGGAAAUGCUACAGGGUAUGCGCUAAUGAUACAGUCACAUUACAGUCAAUAAUUACAUGUUGGAGACAAUUUUGUUAAUUUGAUUGACUGUAGUUGUUAUGUUCUGUUAAUUACUGAUUAAGGAUGGAGCACGCUUGGUCAUGGCAGUGUUGUUCUAUGUUAUUCUGGUACUAACUCGUUUGAGUAAAUGUGAAGCUCCAAUUCAA